rnacentral:lncRNA from 1 species
CGGGGGCUGGCGGCGGCGGCGGCGCGGGAGGGAGCCGGGCGUGCGGGUGAACUGGCAGGGCGGCUCCGCUCCGCAAGCAGAGAGAGCGCCGGGUUGCCGGAGCAGGUGAGGCCGGCACGGGCCCUUGGAUGCGCUCCGUGGGUUCCGAGGGAGGAAGGGAUCUGGGUCGGAGGGGCCCCGGGAAGCCGCGCGCUGCCUCCGCCAGGCGCCGGGUGGGCUUUACAGAGCCCGAGGCUCGGAGAGCCACAGUCGGCGCUGGUGCGGGGAACCCUGCCGCUGGAGCGGAUUUGGGCUCCCAUAGCCUCGGUGCUCUCUGUGCGCUGCAGGCAAAGGAGAGAAUCAAGGACUGCUUCAAGGUCAAGCUUCUUGACUAGAAGAUGGGAGUUGUUGCUGUGACUUACUGCUUUGUAGGGAUACAGUGAUGCCUGAGAAAAUCCUGAAAAGACCUGCACGUUCUUCAAAGAAGAAAUUUUUGCUCCCUACACCCUGUUGAGAGAUGGUCUGGUGAGGGAGGAGUGAGCACAGCUGUGAUUUCUGUCUUAAUGUGGGUCAUGCUAACUUGGAUAGACAUCCUUUAGUGACAGGUUCCUUGGCCUGGCCUGGACUGGAGGUAAGACUUCCCCAGAGUGUCUCUUUAAGGUUCUGAUACAUCUCACAAUGGCUUCAAAUGUAUGGACAUAGACAAGACUGGGGCUUCUGGGUCCUGAGAAUACACUGGGAAAGGAUUUGCAGAGCAUAUUCAGAUGCCUCCUUAGUUGAGAACAACCAGGAACUUCCUACUUCGGGCAGCGGAGAAGGCUUCUGCAGGGUGAACUUGCCAACGAACCAUCAAAGAGGAGGGUGCUUAUGAAUGGGGCUGUGUAAUCAUGGCCCUUGAGGUUUCUAGUUGUUUAAAUGUCACCCUUUAUUUGAAACUGAUUCUUGUCAGAUUCUGAAAACAGUUUGUCGGUGCAAUUGUGUACCAGUAUGGAGCUCUCUUAAAGUACAUUUCCUUUCAUUCAUGAAGCUAUUAAUGGGCAUUCAAUUAGUCGCUCAAUCAACUGCCAAGGAAACCACACUGAAAAUAGGGUAUGUAUUCAGAACAAAGAACUUCAACUCACUGCGAUAGUCAUAUCUCCUU